rnacentral:rRNA from 1 species
UACGUAGGGUGCGAGCGUUGUCCGGAAUUAUUGGGCGUAAAGGGCUCGUAGGCGGUUUGUCGCGUCGGGAGUGAAAACUCAGGGCUUAACCCUGAGCCUGCUUCCGAUACGGGCAGACUAGAGGUAUGCAGGGGAGAACGGAAUUCCUGGUGUAGCGGUGAAAUGCGCAGAUAUCAGGAGGAACACCGGUGGCGAAGGCGGUCACCUGGCUCGUUACUGACGCUCAGACACGACAGCAUGGGGAGCGAACGGG